UUUCCCUCCAAAGAAUGCGUUGCCAAUCGCAAUCUUCAGGGUGUAUACGAAUUUGUCGGAACAUCUUUACGAUGUCUGCCGAAAAGACGAACCUGAAGAGCCUUCACCUGGUAAUAAUCAACCAGAGGUGUGAUUGAACUUCGGCCCAAUGUGAAAGAGGUCAUUCAAUGAAACUCCUGACGGCGUAACACUAGAGCCAUUGAAAACUACUCUCAGCUUAGCAUGACCAUCCGUAUUUUUCCAGACCGAAUGGUGAGGUAGGUAGUGGUCUUGGUCCUCCACCUGAUGCGACACCGCCUCCAUAUGACCUAAAGAGGCAUAUUCAGUCAUAAAAGAGGUAUAGUGAUCCCUCAAGAUCGGAUCACGAGCUAGACGACGCUCAACACUAAGAAGAACGCGAAGAGCGAUGGGUCUGGUAGGCACAAGGACAAUUCUUCCGGAGUGAGAGGAGAUGGACCCGAUGGUACCUCUUCCAGUUCCCAAAACCCUUUAAGGUCCAGCUGGACCUGGUUAUCCUGGCGAACGAGCAAGACAGUGCGAGACGAAUUAUCUGUGGAAGAGGAAGCCUUGGACCCGAUUAGGCCAAGAAGUACCCAGCCAAAUGGAGUACUUACAGCGACAGGCGUACCGGGGAGACCUACGCGCCUCUCCUGGAAAAGUUGACCACAGACAUCAGCGCCAAUUACUACCUGCGAUGGCGUCGGAGCAAUCUGACUUUUAGAAACAAGUGCGUCAAUGGCUACCUGAAAAGAAGGCUCACGCUCGGACUUCACGAAGACUCAAACCUCGUUUUUCGCUACCCUGACUGGAACACCCUGAUAGCCUGUAAGCGGCACAUGCACCGAGCGACGUUUCAGGCGAAGAUAUUGAGCAGCUCGCUCUGAGAUGAACGAAUCCUGAAUCGAUAAGAGCUCUUACCUGGAGAGAUCUUCUAUCAAGGGAUUCCAAACAGACUUGAGCCGUUGCGAGAAGGACUACUCGUUUGACGCAAACCGAAUAAGAGGCGGUGGCAGAAGACGAGCUAGCCAUAGGAGGAGUGAAGGAAGAAUCUCGAUCGUGAGUACUAGUCCCCUUCAUGGCAUCAUGAAGCGUCGUGUGAUGUUUGGAGCUGCAAACGAGACAACGAUGAACAGACUGACAAUCUGAGAAUUCUCGGAAACCUUCACGGUCGAGCGAGGAGACGAUGACGUCGAAGAAGAUGGUCGGCUGAAGGACUCCUUGCCCUUGGAAGAAGUAGGCGCUUCGGGCUGCUGAGUGUUGGUUAAGGCGUGAAUCCGAUUUUCCAAAAAUUCUUCCAGAUGGGAGAACUUUGGAACUUCCGUGGGAUUCGGCAAGGCAAGCUCCCAAGUCAGUCGAGCAGCGUUAUCCAGCUUUUCGCGUUUUUCCAACGAAGCCCAGGCGCCGUUCUAACCCGCCUCCGUCACCGGGUUCUUCUUCAGCAUCGUCGCUGCCUCACCAGUUAGACAGGACUUCAAAUACUGGAGCUUCUUCGCUUUCGAAAGACGAGGUGCGUCGUGGAUGAGCAUCUUAAACUGGUCUCGAAAACUCUCCCACAAUAUCAAAUCUCCCGAGAACGUGGGCAGGUUGAGCUCCGGAAGUCGAGAGUCAAGGUCAGAAGACGACUCCUCAGAAGCACCACGUGUCGUUUUGGCAGCGGAAGAGGUCUUCGCAAAGUGCUGCUUCAUCCAACCAGAUAUCUUUGUAAGAUGACUCAAAUAAAGAUCGACUGCUCCGAAUCGAUCUUCUUUAGAAUAGCUGGUAGUUUCAGCCCCUUCCAUGGACACAAUCAGCUGGUGUCCUUCGAAGAAUUCACUCCACUAUUUCUCGAGAAGUGGUCUGCGCGAUUCUAAUAUUUCGAGAUCGAGACGAUCUUUUCCCAUUUUUAAAAUAUUCGAAACGAAACGUUCGAUUCGACCUCCCAAGUCGACUUAUUUUCGAAUUAGACCUUCAAGAGUGGUCGUUGCUGUUUUCACAUCGGGUGGAGCCAUUAUCUUUGUCUCGUCUCUUACCACGCAUACACUCGCGAAGAACAUGCAAGGUCGCACAAAAGAAAAAAAUCGUUCGAGAAAAGUCGUUAGGCGAACCGUCGUAAUUUCUCAAAAGCGCAGUUUUCUCACGAGAAACGAGUCAGUGAUACAAAAAAGAAAAUCCGUAAUCACAAUUUUAUAAUUUUUCGCACAAACAGUCACUUCCGAAACGCGUGCACACGUAUCCGGCUCGAAGGACCAGAAAUUGUUUCCUAUUUUUCGUCAAUUUUAACGAGAUAAACUCGGAAACGGUAAUAAGAAUAUCGCGGAACGAGAUGCACUUAAAUAGCACAGCGUUUCGAACGAUUUAGCAGCGAAAAGAAGAAACGAAUAGCAGAAAUUCGUUGGUAGGCCGAUUUCGAAUAUCGAGAAAGGACGUUCGGGUUUAACGUAGCGAAAAGAAAACACAGCUGAUUAUUAGACUGUCCACUAACGAAUGACUCACCUGUCGCCGAGCACCGUCGAAAGCGACAAGUGUCUUCCCCUCUCACUCCGCGGCCACCGAGCUACUCGAUUCACCCGACGGGCGCGGAGAUACGAGCGAAAAGAACGACUUGUAUAAAAAA